GAUGAAGAACGUAGCAAAAUGCGAUAAGUAGUGUGAAUUGCAGAAUUCAGUGAAUCAUCGAAUCUUAGAACGCACAUUGCGCCCUUUGGUAUUCCUUAGGGCAUGCCUGUUCGAGCGUCAUUUUCACCUUCAAGCACAGCUUGGUGUUGGGCGUCUGUCCUUAGGGACUCGCCUCAAAAGGAUUGGCAGCCACUCCAGCGGCUUUGAGCGCAGCAGAUUUGCGUCCUCUAGCAGUGGGAGAUGGCAUCCAUAAGCUUACUUUUUAUUUUGACCUCGGAUCAGGUAGGGAUACCCGCUGAACUUAAGCAUAUCAAUAAGCGGAGGA
rnacentral:misc_RNA from 1 species